CGUUAAGAUAUCCUUAAAAGUUAUAAGCUUCAACGGAAAGCCAAGGCACUGCUCUGCUCCACGCUUCGCCUCACGGUCAUUAACCGUCAAGGAAAUAUCGAACCGAGAAUCAAGUUACCGUCACCGCUACUCACGAAUAUCGAACUGAAUCGUAUAGGUACUGAUUCGGAUCGACCUACUGCUCGAGCUGACUGUGGUACAUGUUAUUAUCGUCGCUAGCUAUCUGUCGAGGAAAUAUCGAACCGGGAAUCGAGUUACCAUCACCGUUACCCACAAAUAUCGAACCGAAUUGUAUAUCUCGUGUGACUGCACUAAUUCGGAUCGACCUACUACUCGAGCUGACUGUAGUAGAUGUUAUUAUCGUCGCUAGCUAUCUGUCAAGGUGUGUCUCUGUCGAUGCUAUAAUUAAUUCUAUGUUUACGUGAUUGUUCGAUAAGUACUGUUAAAUUGAGAGAUUGGUUGUUUUGUGAAAUUUGUUGAAAUUGUUUGCAUUAAAUUCAGAUGAAUGUUAUGUGUUGUAUGUUGAUAUGUAGGAUUAAGAACAUAGUUGCAUAAAUCGCUCAAUAGCCCACGAUCUACGUACCGUACGCUGCGAUCCAAAACGCGGUACGAACGAAUUCCAGUUCAUUUCAAAAUCACGAUUCGGUACGACGAUCCAAAAUUGACUAUGGAAGGAGCUAUUCAUCGUCUUUUUUUUCGAUUUUGAAGGUAUUAAGUGUGUGUGUGUUUAUUUUGAAAGAAAGGAAAAGAAAAAACCGCAAACGAGAUUCACCCAUCAACCAUUAUUUAGCAAACAAAAAUAAAAAAAUACGAGAGAAAAGAAAGAGAAAGGAAAAGAGAAAGAUGAAAGCUUAUCUGCUUUAGGCGUCAGAAAACUCGAAGGUCACCGCAUUCAAAAAGGGUCGAGAGGUAAUUUCUUAGAUCUAAGGUUUUUUUUCUUGGUUUUUGGGGAAAAGGGUUCUAGAUCUAAGUAUAGGAGGUUGAGAGGGUUGUUUUGGGCCUUUUAUGUCAAGUUCCGGCCGUCGUGGAUCACGCAGUUGAGUGGCGGUGCUCUCUCUGUCGAUAGAGAAUGCAGAGAACUCCUAAGUUCUCUUUUUCUGUUUUGUUGAACAAAAUGAAGGCUUAGGGUUUUUUGAAACCCAAAAAAGUUAUUUAUAUUACUAUGGAUACAACAUCUUUUAGAACCUGCGUCUAAUAGGGGUUUAAUCACGUAAAGGCUCCCUUUAGUUUCAAGUUGUUGUGUUUUGGUACUUGCUCAGAGAUUCUGUAACUUUCCAAUAUGGUUCUUAAGUUUUACAUGCAUUUCAUUUCGGUCCCAAGUUUUUUUUAUUUAUGUUGUUUCAGCCAUUUGACCUUCAA